rnacentral:misc_RNA from 1 species
AAGUUGUUGGACGUGCUGGUGUUGGUAUUGAUAAUGUCGAUCUUGCAGCCGCGACUGAGCAUGGAUGUCUUGUUGUAAAUGCCCCGACUGCUAAUACUGUUGCUGCUGCUGAGCAUGGAAUCUCGUUACUCACAGCUAUGGCUCGAAAUGUUGCUCAGGCGGAUGCUUCCGUGAAAGCUGGGAAAUGGCUGAGAAACAAAUAUGUUGGUGUCUCAUUAGUUGGCAAAACACUUGCUGUG